AACGAACGCUGGCGGCGCGCCUAACACAUGCAAGUCGAACGAGAAUCCGGGGCAACCCGGUAGUAAAGUGGCAAACGGGUGAGGAAUACAUGGGUAACCUACCCUUGAGAAGGGAAUAACCCGCCGAAAGGUGAGCUAAUACCCUAUACGCUAUCUUUUUUUCGAAAAGGAUAGGAAAGCCGGGUCGAGGACCUGGUACUCAAGGAGGGGCUCAUGUCCUAUCAGCUUGUUGGUGGGGUAACGGCCUACCAAGGCUACGACGGGUAGCUGGUCUGAGAGGAUGAUCAGCCACACUGGCACUGAGAUACGGGCCAGACUCCUACGGGAGGCAGCAGUGAGGAAUAUUGCGCAAUGGGCGAAAGCCUGACGCAGCGACGCCGCGUGGGGGAUGAAGGUUUUCGGAUUGUAAACCCCUUUCAUGAGGAAAGAUAAAGUAGGGUAACCACUUAGACGGUACCUCAAGAAGAAGCCACGGCUAACUUCGUGCCAGCAGCCGCGGU
rnacentral:rRNA from 1 species